CAACAUGCUUCGUCCGUCGAUGAAAGAUUGGAUUGGCGGAUAGGUAGGUGGCACCAAUGUUGUCACACCAUAGGCUAGGCGCUCGCGCUUGCGAGAUCCCGAGCUCACGCAAGAGGACUUGGAUCCAAAUUAAUUCGGCAGUGGCAUCAGCAACCGCCUUAUAUUCGGCUUCCGUACUAGAACGAGAAACUGUCGAUUGUUUCCUCGAACUCCAAGAGAUAAGAUUGCCACCAAAGAAGAUCACAUAGCCUCCAGUGCUUCGACGAUCAUCAGGAUUCCCAGCCCAAUCAGCAUCUGAAAAGGCACUCAACAAAUCAGUGCUGGACUUUGUAAGACACAAACCCAUAUCAAUAGUGUCAUGUAGAUAACGGAGAAUUCGUUUGACUGCCGCCCAAUGUAUAGAAGUCGGAGAGGACAUGAACUGACACACUCUGUUGACACAGAAGGAUAUAUCAGGACGUGUCAGAGACAAAUAUUGGAGAGCACCAACGACACUUCGAUAGCGAGUAGUAUCCUCAGAAUAAGUCCACUAGAAGUAUGGCGGACCUCAAUCCCAA